CCUACGGGAGGCAGCAGUGGGGAAUAUUGGACAAUGGGCGAAAGCCUGAUCCAGCAAUGCCGCGUGAGUGAUGAAGGCCUUAGGGUUGUAAAGCUCUUUUACCAGGGAUGAUAAUGACAGUACCUGGAGAAUAAGCUCCGGCUAACUCCGUGCCAGCAGCCGCGGUAAUACGGAGGGAGCUAGCGUUGUUCGGAAUUACUGGGCGUAAAGCGUACGUAGGCGGUUAUUCAAGUCAGAGGUGAAAGCCUGGAGCUCAACUCCAGAACUGCCUUUGAAACUAGAUAGCUAGAAUCUUGGAGAGGUGAGUGGAAUUCCGAGUGUAGAGGUGAAAUUCGUAGAUAUUCGGAAGAACACCAGUGGCGAAGGCGACUCACUGGACAAGUAUUGACGCUGAGGUACGAAAGCGUGGGGAGCAAACAGGAUUAGAUACCCUGGUAGUCCACGCCGUAAACGAUGAUAACUAGCUGUUCGGGCUCUACGAGCUUGGUAGUGGCGCAGACUACGACAUUAAGUUAGUCCGCCGUGGGAGGUACGGUCGCGAGAGUUAAACGUACGUAAAGUUAAGUUAGUACGGCGUUGAGACGNGCCGACGGACGACGACGAGGGAGGAGG
rnacentral:rRNA from 1 species